GACGAACGCUGGCGGCGUGCUUAACACAUGCAAGUCGAACGGAAAGGCCCCUUUGGGGGUACUCGAGUGGCGAACGGGUGAGUAACACGUGAGUAACCUGCCCUUGACUUCGGGAUAACUUCAGGAAACUGGGGCUAAUACCGGAUAGGAAUCCUUGCUGCAUGGUGGGGGUUGGAAAGCUUCGGCGGUUUUGGAUGGACUCGCGGCCUAUCAGCUUGUUGGUGGGGUAGUGGCUUACCAAGGCUUUGACGGGUAGCCGGCCUGAGAGGGCGACCGGCCACAUUGGGACUGAGAUACGGCCCAGACUCCUACGGGAGGCAGCAGUGGGGAAUAUUGCACAAUGGGCGGAAGCCUGAUGCAGCAACGCCGCGUGCGGGAUGACGGCCUUCGGGUUGUAAACCGCUUUCAGCAGGGGCGAAGCUUGUGGUGACGGUACCUGCAGAAGAAGCACCGGCUAACUACGUG
rnacentral:rRNA from 1 species